rnacentral:misc_RNA from 1 species
AACCUUAUGGACCUGCGGGCGUAUACCUGCGGAGGGAUCAUUAACCUUUCAAAAAACAGGGUGCGUCGCGGCCCCCCUCCGGGGGCGGUUUGGGGUCCUCCCCUUCACGCGCGCACGACUGCAUCCUUACUUUACGAGCACCUUCUGUUCUCCCUCGGCGGGGCAGCCUGCCGUUGGAACCGAAUAAACCCUUUUUUGCAUCCAGCAUUACCCGUUCCGAAACAAACAAUCGUUACAACU